ACAUACCUUUCCAUACUGACGUACCACCUCUGUGACCUUGGGCCAGUUUUGUAGCAUCUCUAAGCUUCAAUUCUCAGAUCUGUAAAAUAAAGACAAAAGUUCUUACCUCCUGAAUACUCAACAUGGUAAUCUAAGUAUCAUCAGACUGGGGAAUUAGCCUUGUUCUAGACCGAUUUCUACCUCGUUGAAUAAUAAGCAUUUCAUAAAUAUUUGUUGAAUGAGUAAAUCUAUGUAAAGUAUGUAACUGUGUCUAGCAUGUAAUAGGUGCUUAAGAAUUAUUUACUUCUUCCAGAAAUUAGUCUGGGCACUCACUUUUCCCACCUCCCAAGUUUAGGUAAGUACACUUCUAUCUCAUCUGCCUAUACCUAUUACAGAUGUGCUCAGCUUCUUAAGGAAAUGCCUUUGAUACACUUUCUUAGACUUAGACUUCACCCAAAAAUCAACAGAGAAAGUAUCACAGGAUGAAAUAUCAUUGCAAAGCAGUAUUUCACAAUGCAUCAAGUGAUUUCCAAAGACUGUUAAUGGGAGCUAUGUCGGAGUUAAAAACAUAUCAAAUGUCAACUCCAAAAAUGUUGAGGGAUCACUGCCUUAAACAGGUUUCUUCAUUCUGGGACUUUGCAAAGCCAUUAUUAUUCAAAUGUAAAUUUUGAUUCUCCAAGAGGUGAGUAAAAUAUACAACUUCCCAACCAUAUUUGAUCAGAGGACCCUUUUGUCAUAGAGAAUAUCUCAUUUUACUGAGAUAACUCUUUGGGAAAUGUGGAUCUAAUCAUUAGCUAGAAGAGUAGACACAAGGCAAAAGAAUUUAUUUUUAUAGGGUUGUAAAACAUGUUUUAGGUUAGGGAAGGCUUAUUUAGGAUUGAGAUGUGGAGUUCUUCAUAACCCAAGACAGUCAUUGAAGAAAUUUCCUUCCAAUGAAGCAGUUAGGUGAGUGAAAACAAAUGAACAUAAAUAAGUAUAUAAUAACACCUUGGGAAAAUUAAACAUCUCUCCAUUUAACAUCUGUCACAUAGAUAAUUGUAGCAACUAGAUUGAUUAUGAGAGAAGAAUCUGGAAGUUCAAAAGGGAAGCAGCUGAGUUUGCCUAUAUCACCUGCAAAGGGACUACUUUCUUUGGCAGAUUGAUAUUGCACAAAGGUUUGAAGUUUCAUUAAAGACGCAGGUUGGUUGCUGUAACAGUAUGUUACAGAAUCUGUGUAUAAUCAGACAAUACAUUGCAUGAGACUAUCAGAAAAUAUAAUAGUAUUAUACAUGCAUCCUGGAUUGUGGUAUGCUGUACAUGGAAUUUUUAUACUAGGAAAAUAUACAACAUGUCAUAUCUGUAACAAUAAAAAUAUGAUCAGCACAUUAGUUAUAAAAUGACAGGUUAAUUCCUCUCAAUCAUGAUUUAGUUUCAAUUGGGAUUUUUUCCCUUGUGCAAUUUUAUAAUACUUCAGUGUCUAUUAUAAGUUUUAAAAGCAUAGAUGUUUGCAUUUUCUGAAAGUCCUGGUUAUGUAAAAUGGAAGAAUUCAAAAACAAAAACAAAACCUGAACUAGGGCAAAUAGCACAACAGAAUUCUUAAGUUAGCCAUGUCAAGCGGGGCAUUCACACCUGCAGUUAAUACUCUCUUCUUUACAUGUAAACUUCCUGUUGAAAGCAGGUCAGAAUUAACAGCUGAAUCAACUUGGAGAGUUUAAAAAAAAAAAAACAAUUAGUUUUAUGUUCUUUUCAAUAAUUGCUUCAUUAUAUUUUGUACAUCUGUGCAGGGUUCUGAUGAUGACUUUUGGUAAAUUUCCAAAUAGCUAUAAAAACAGGGGAAUACCAGUUAAGCAAUAGUAUAAUCCACCUGUAGGUUAGAAAGAGGCUUUAUAUAAUAGCUAAAACAAAACAAAACAAAAAUUCUUGAAACAAAAGAUUUGAUUCUGCUCUGUGAGGAAAUGAUUCUGUUUCAGGUGAUGAUAUCAGAUACUGUAUUUUUUAAAGAAAAUUGUCAGUAGCUCAGAAGAGACCAACAAAAAUGAUAAAAGGUUUGGAAAAUAAGACCUGUGAGAAAUGGUUAAGAAAAUGGGAAUAUUCAUUCAAGUCAAAGGAGGCUGAGGGGAGAUAUAACUGUCUACCUAAAAGUUAAAUGAGGUUACAAGCAAAAGAGGCAUUAAUUAUUAGUGGUAGCAGAAGAGGGCAGUUAGAAGAAAAGAGCUGCACCCAUUUUAUUUAAUAUUAGAACAAAUUUUCUACCCAAAAAACAUUCAUAUGAUGGAGUUAACUGCCAUUAUUAUUGCUACAGUAAUUUGUUAUGAUCAGAAAGGAAAUGUAUAUCAAAGCAUUCAUGGAUUCAUAAAUCAAUCUAUAAUAAACAAAUGAGCAUCACAAUUUAGAAUUAAAAUAUUAUUGAAUAUUUAAAUCACAAAAGGUUGAUGCUUUUAGUGAAUAAACACAAUUAGUAAAUACAAAAAUUUUACAUUUGGUCUUUGAACUACCUGAAAAUAAAUUUUUUAUAAAGUUAUAAUUAUCAAAGAACCAUGAAACUGUCAUAUGAACUGACAGAAAGGAUUGAAGAAACAGAAGAUAAAACCUAGAAAUGCAUUCUUACUUAUUAUAUAGAGUAAUAUACAUUCUUACAUUAUCAUAUAGACAUCUAGAUAUGACAAGAAAGUAAGAAAAUAAAUUACGUUUUAAAAUGUGUUAAGAAGAAAGUGAAGGAGAAAUUUUGUAGAUUAGGCAAAACAAUUGAUUAAUGACUUGUAUAAAAUUAAGGUAAUAGUCACAUGUUACACCAAAAGAAAGUCUUGCUGGAUUAAAAUAAUGAUUUUCAACAGCUAGUAAUAGGAGAUCACAAGGGGUGUAUAUCACAAUCUUUUCAAUGUUUUGUGAACUACAAAUGUUUUUUCCACUCAGAGAGACUGUGAUACUUUCUGGGUGUUAUAACCCUGUCCUUGGUGAGAAAAUUGAAGUUAAAGGGAUAUAGUGCUUUGCUUAAGAAUUAAUUGAUCAAGUAUUUAUUUAGGACCCACUAUUCACCAGGUAUUAUGUUAGGCACUAUAAAUAGAUGAAAGGAUAAGAUCCCUGUUCCAGUGAACCUUAGGGUACAUCUGCUGUUUUAGUCAGCUGAGACUGUUAUAUACUGUAGGGUGAAUGACUUAAACAACAAACAUUUAUUUCUCACAAUUCUAGAGGCUGAGAAGUCCAAGAUCAGGGUGUCUCCAGAUCCUGUGAGAACCUGAUUCCUGGUUUGCAGAUGGUCAUCUUGUCAUUGUGUCCUCACACAGUGGAGAGAGAGACAGCAAGCUCUCUUGUGUCUGUUCUAAUCCUGUUCAUGAGGGCUUCACCCUCAUGACCUAAUUACCUCCCAAAGGUCCCACUUUUUCAUACCAUAACAUUUGUGAUUAGGUGAAUUUGGGGGUAGAUACAAACAUUCAUUCCAUAGUAUCUGCUGUUCUCAUCUGCCCAACAUCCACACACUCAUCUUCUAAUAGCAGCACCCUGAUUUUCCUUUGGAAAAUCAUAGUACUCCCAGUCUCAAAUGAUGGGGUUUAGAUAGCGUUUCUUCCACUCCUAAACCCCAGGCAGAAAUAUGGAAUUUUUGCUUGGCUAAUGAGUGUUCAUUACACAACUGGCUAAAGUGAGUGGUUCAGGAAUAAACACCAAAAGCCAGUCUUGGCUCUUAGGUUGGGACUAUCGGUUACAUGACAUCCUUUUGCUUUGGUAUUUCUAGGCUAGUAGAAAGUAACCCAGAGUUACUAUAGUUCAUUUUGCCACUAAAUAGUAAAAUUUCCCUUAGGAUUAAUUGAAGAAGUAAAGCAGAAGAAGAAAUAAAGAAACAGCAUAUUCUCAUGGUAUGAUGUGAUCUGCUAGAUACAGCCUUGCCUGCAGGGUUAGUAGAUGUCUACAUGUAGUGGUGAAAAGCAACCUCAGCCCUAUGGUCUAGUAUUUGCCCAUCAAAAUUUGUCUUAUGAUUUAUAGAACUGGAACUUCACUGCCAGGUGCUGGCCUGGAACUAUAGAACAAACAUUUCACAAAAAGUAAUGAUGAUAUACAAAGGAAAGAAGAUUUCUUUGAAUAUCCAUAAUCUCAAUAUGGAGCCUGUCUGUGGAUGGCCAAGAGCAUGUUGAAGAGUAUGAAUUUAAAAAUAAUUGUGAACACAUCAUCGUCAUCAAUUCUUGUACCUCUUCAGUGUGCUAAAUUCAACACAGAGGUAUGGACGUGGGAGAAGUAGAAGGAAACUGAGAAGUAAAAAGUUCGCAAAGGAUAUCUCUUGAGGACAGACUCAUAUUUACCAUGAUUAUGUCAAUCUCUUUGCUGCUAGAAGAUUUCUGUGCCAUUUAUGAUGAAAAGAAAAUCUGCAGUUGACUCUUGGCUGUUUUCUCAAGAUUCCCUUUGGUGUGCAACAUCUCUUUGUAAUUCAACAACACUUUCUCCUACAGUAAGAAGGAGCUUAGAGUCAUAUCAGAAAGACUGACUAUCCUGGGUCAGAACCUCAAUAUUUCUGGGCAUGCAGCUUUGGAGUCCUGAGCCACAAAGUAAGAAACUCAGUUGCCAUGUUGAAGACACUCUCUGGAAAGGCCAUAAAAAGAUAGAGAGGCCGGGCGUGGUGGCUCACGCCUAUAAUCCCAUCACUUUGGGAGGCUAAGGCGGGUGGAUUACGAGGUCAGGAGAUUGAGACCAUCCUGGCCAACAUGGUGAAACCCCGUCUCUACCAAAAAUACAAAAAUUAGCUGGGCAUUUGGCACACACCUGUAGUCCCAGCUAAUUGGGAGGCUGAGGCGGAAGAAUCACUUGAACUUGGGAGGCGGAGGUUGCAGUGAACGGAGACUGCUCCACUGUGCUCCAGCCUGGCAACAGAGCAAGACUCCAUCUAAAAAAAAAUAGAGAGAGACACUCAAGGAGCCCCAGCUAUUCUGGCCCCCACCUAAUUGAGCCACCAGACAGCAGCAACCAUCAGAUGUGUAAGUGAACAAGCCUUCAGGUGAUUCCAGUUCUACCUACAAUCUGAUUCAGCCAUGUAAAGACUCCAAAUGAGAACUGCCUAGCUGAAUCCAGUCAAUUCCAGGACCAUGAGAGAUAAUAACAAUACCAAUAACCAUAAUAAGCAUUAUUGUUGUUUUAAGCCACUAAAUUUUGGGAUUGUUUGCUACACAGUUGUAGAUAACCAUAACUAUACUCUCUUCUCUUCAUCAGGGAUAGAAGUAGACUAUCUUUAAAGAUUUUUACAAUUCUAAAAUAUACUAGGGCAUCUAAGUUGAAAUUGAGGCUCAUGUAGCUGGAUAAAAUUUGAGAUACAUUUUAGAGUCAUAUUAUCCCCAUGAUGUGCCUCUUUUCCUUCCUUCUCCUCAAAGCACAGAUUUCUUUGGCAUUGUCUCAGGAGGGGAGGAAUGCUGCAGGACUAAAACCAGAAGAUGUCUUGGCUUUGUUUCCCCAACGUAAGCCUUUAGAAAAUCACAUGCAUUUUGUAGAAGUGGAAGAAAGGAAGCCAGGUAACAUGCAAGAAGAAGCAGAGUAGCUUGGAAAAAAAGUAUAAGUCAGGAGCAGGGAAACUACCAGCCACCUCAACUAGAAGAAUAUUUUUUUGGGCUGAGGUUGGAGUAAGAAGCAAGAAGGGAAAUAUCUAUGCAUCAUGCAAACAGAGAGGGCUGUGGGCAUCUCUUUGGCAGUAGCCAAAGGAAGCAGUAAGUCUCCAGAGAAGAAUGUUAUGUCUGGACAGUAGGAUUCUGGGAGGUCUUAAAAUAGUGUCCUGUGUCCCAAACACAGCAUGGCAUUGUGGACUGAAAUUAUUUUUCCCCCUCUCAUAUAAGUAAAAUAACUUUGCUGCAGAAAAAAACUGGGAGUCAAUAUCAAUGAUAGGUCAGUGAGGCAGCUAUCAAUAUCCAUGAUAGCUUCAGUGACAAGGAGAGGUUCUACUUUGUCCAUAGCUUAUGGGGCUAUGGACCUCAAAAAGAGAGAGAGCCAGGGCAGGAAAACUUGAAGAGGUUUAUGUGUUCAUAAGAAACCUUCCCAAGGAUAUUCAGAUGAGAUUUUUGAGGUACUGGAGUUUUUAAGUAAAACACACUGAGAAGGAUAUCAGGGAUGUCUUAUCUUUAUUGUGAAAGUGAACUGCAUUAUCUUUAGAAUGAUAAAGUCUGGGAAAACUCAGGUUCCAAAUCAGUUCUUUGGAGUCUAGAGUAAGCAUUCUAAAAUGAUUCUGUGAUCUAAUUGGCAAUAACUAAGCCUCUGAUAGACCACUGUGCAAAUCUAAUUCUGUGAUUCUUGGUAAUUGUAAAAUUAAGUUUGCUCAGAAAGUUUCAUUUCCUUCUAUUUCUUAAACAAUAAUCUAAAUAAAUACUGCCUUUUAAGAUUAAUCUCUUUUUCCCUCAUGUGCAUAUAGAAGUGUGAUUGUUUCUCUGUAGUAGCAAUUAUCUCCUUCCAAUUUGGGUUAUUCUGUUAUUUGUGACAGUCUCCCCAUGAGACUAUGAGCUCCUGAAGGGCAGUAACUUUGUCCUGUUCAUUAAGGGAUUCCAACAAUUCCUCUUAAAAAACACUACAUGUAAUAUUUUACUUACUGAAAACAUAUUUAUAGAACACCUUUGUUGUGCCCAGCACUGUGCUCAAUAAAUGACUCAAGGAAUUGAAAAUUAAAAGCUUCUCAUGUGUGAUAACAAAGCUAUUACACAGCUAAGAAAUGUCUUCAACAAUAUUUUUAAAAGAAAAACAUACAAAUCCAUCUGCUUUGUAAAUAUUUAUUUUGGACAUUUUCCUCUAUAUAUGUAAGAGAUAUGGACCCAUAGUUUUCAGUUUUUGUGCUAACUUUGGUAUUUGUAUAAAGGUUAUAAGAGAUUUGUAUAUUAUAUUGAAAUCAUUGCAUAUGUUUCUAUGAUCUGCAAUAAUCUUUAUACCAUUGGAAUCUGUUCUUUUAAGUUUAGUAGAAUUCAUCUACAAAACUGUCUUGGUUCAACGUGUAAGAGUUUGAAAGCCACCAUUCUCAUCUUUGCAAAAAUAAAAAUAAAUAUAAAAUUGAGCAAACUGAAUAUCAGCAACUACUCUUGCACUCACCAGAGAAUUGAGGUCACAGGACAAAUCACUGCUUAAAACCUGGGAAGACAGGUGAGGACAUGCAGAAAUCACAGUAUACUAGGAACGGAAGCUGCUAGAGUCAGCAACUGGUAGAAGUGCAUAAAUGGAUACUGACUAAUUGUGAGAAAAAAAACCCUCAAACUCAAAAUAAAUUUUUACACACCAACAUAACUUACUGCCAAGUCUCCUUUAUAAUAAUGGGAAAUUACAGCUAAAAGAACUGCAAGCCUCUAACUCUAUUUAAGAAGAAGUCUUUAGAGAAAGCCAAAGACAAUAUGAGAGAAGAAAACAGAGAAAAUCUUAACCUCUGACACCUAAAGCAAACAGUAAACAGAAUCUAACCUCACACUAAAUACCUAUUUACCUCAGUUUCUUUUACUUAACACAUUAUGUCCAGAUUUUAGCAAAAAAUGAAGGCAUGAUAAAAGGCAAAAACCACAGUUUAAAGAGACAAAGCAAAAUCAGGGUCAUACUUUUAGAUAUGGCAGAGAUUUUGGAAAUCAAACUGGAAAUUUAAAAUAACUACCAUUAAUAUACUAAGGGCUCCAGUGGAAAAUAUUCUCAUCUCAUACAAAAUCAGAUGGGUAAUAAGCAGAGAGAUAAAAACUGGAAAAAUAAUUCUCCCUAAGAAAGAAAAUGCUAAAAAUAGUAUAAUAGAAAUAAUGAAUGCUUUUGAUAGGCUCAGGGACACUGGACAUGGUUAAGGAAAGAAUCAAUGAGCUUGAAGAUAUGUCAACAGAAAUGUCCCAAACUAAAAAGCAAAGAAAAUAAUUAAAUGAAACAGAAUAUCCAAGAGCCGUGGGACAAUUUAACCAGUUUUAAGAUACAUGCAAUAGAAAUAUCAGAAGAAAAAGAAAGAAAGAAACAAAAUUCCUACACCUAUGAAUAUCAUAUUCAAACUUCAGACAACCAAAGGAAUAGAGAGCAUUGUGAAAAAAACCAGAAGGGAAAACCAACUUCACACACAGAGAAACAAUAAUAAGAAUUACAUUAGACUUGCCUCUCAGAAACCACACAAGCAAGAAGACAGUGGAGUGAAAUAUUUAAAAUGUUGAAAGAAAAAAACACCAACCUAGAAUUGUAUAUUCAAUGAAAUUAUCCUUUAAAAGUAAAAGACUUUCUCAAACAAAAAUUGAGAGAAUUUGCCAUCAAUCUACUUUCUUUGUGGAAAAUGUAGCAUUUCUUCAAAGAGAUGCUAAAUGAUAUAGGUCAGAAACUUCUACUACAUAAAGAAAGGAAAAGCAUUAUAGAAGGAAUAAGUAAAAUAAAAAAAACCUUUUUUAUAUUAUUUUCUUAUUCUAAAUUGGUUCUACAGACAACUGUUCAAAAUAAUAGCAACAAUAUCUGAAUGAUUAUUGAUUUUAAAUAAGUGAAAUGAGUAACAGCAAUGUUAUGAGGGAUGGGAGGGAAGAACUGGGAAUACUCAGUUAUAAGAUACCUGCACUAGUUGUGAAAUAGUAUAGUGUUAUCCAAAGGUGAACUUAGAUUUGUUGUAGAUGUAUAUUGAAAAGUCUAGGGCAAUCACUAAAAUUUUUAAAGGGGUCCUUUAAGAUUUGUUAAAGGAUUCUUAAAGUUUUAAUUGAUCUAAGUUUUGAAAAAAAUGAAGUCAUAUAACAUGCUCAAUUAAAAUUAGAGAAGGCAAAAAAAGAUUAAAACACUAACAAAGGACAAGGUCAAUGGAUAAAAACAGUUGCAACUAUGGCAGAUAUUAAUUCAACUGUAUGAGUAAUCACUUUUAAUAUGAAAGGUCUAAAUAUAACAAUUAAAAGGCAGAGACUGUCAGAUUAACAAAACAGAUCCACGUAUAGGUUGUCAACAAGAAACCCACUUUAAAUAUAAAAUCAUAUAUAGAUUAAAAGUAAAGGAAGGGGCCAGGCGUGGUGGCUCCACCUGUAAUUCCAGCACUUUGGGAGGCUAAGGUGGGUGGAUCACCUGAGGUCAGGAGUUCGAAAGAAGCCUGGCCAACAUGGAAAAAUCCCAUCUCUACUAAAAACACAAAAAAUUUAGCUGGGCUUAGUGGCAUGCACCUGUAGUCCCAGCUACUCAGGAGGCUGAGGCACAAAAAUGUCUGGAACCCAAUUGGCAGAGGUUGCAGUCAGCCUUGCACCACUGCACUCCAGCCUGGGUGACAGAGUGAGAGUGACACUCGGUUUCAGUUAAAAAAAAUACUAAAGGGAGGAAGAAAGCUAAGAUUAAUCAAAGAAAGAUGACUUGGUUGUAUGAACUUCAGACAAAGCAGACUUCAGAGCAAGGAAAGAUUUCAAGAGUAAACAGAAACAUUACAUAAUAAUAAAGACUGUAAAUUAGUUCAACCAUUGUGGAAGACAUUGUGGUGAUUCCUCAAGGAGCUAGAAUAGAAAUACCAUUUGACCCAGCAAUCCCAUUACUGGCUAUAUACUCAAAGGAUUAUAAAUUGUUCUAUUAUAAAGACACAUGCACACAUACAUUCAUUGCAGCACUGUUUACAAUAGCAAAGACCUGGAACCAACACAAAUGCCCAUCAAUGAUAGACUGGAUAAAGAAAAUGUCACACAUAUACACCAUGGAAUACUAUGCAGCCAUAAAAAAGAUGAGUUAAUGUCCUUUGCAGGACAUGGAUGAAUCUGGCAUCAUCAUUCUCAGAAAACUGGCACAAGAACAGAAAACCAAACACCACAUGUUCUCACUCACAGGUGGGUGUUGAACAAUGAGAACACAUGGACACAGGGAGAGGAGAACAUCACACACUGGAGUUUGU